rnacentral:tRNA from 1 species
GCCCAUAUAGCUCAGUGGUAGAGCACUUCCUUGGUAAGGAAGAGGUCGGCGGUUCAAUCCCGCUUAUGGGCUCCA